CGCCUGUUUAACAAAAACAUGUCUUUUUGAUAAUAAUAAAAAGUCUAAUCUGCCCAUUGAAUUUUUUUAAAAGGCCGCGGUAUUUUGACUGUGCAAAGGUAGCAUAAUCAAUAGUUUCUUAAUUAGAAGCUGGAAUGAAUGAUUGAAUGAAAUAUUAACUGUCUUAUUUUAAUAAAAAUAGAAUUUAAUUUUUAAGUUAAAAAGCUUAAAUAAUUUUGAAGGACGAGAAGACCCUUUAAAGCUUUAUAUUGAAAUAUAUAUAAUUAAAAAAUUAAAUUAUUUAUAUGUGUAUGUAAAUAUUUUAUUGGGGUGAUAAGAAAAUUAAUAUAACUUUUUAUAUAAUAAAACAUAAAUUAAUGAUUAAUUGAUCCAUAAAUUAUGAUUAAAAGAUUAAGUUACUUAAGGGAUAACAGCGUAAUAUUUUUUGAGAGAACUUAUCGAUAAAAAAGUUUGCGACCUCGAUGUUGGAUUAAGAUAAAUUUUAGGUGUAGAAGUUUAAAAAUUUGGUCUGUUCGACCAUUUAUUCUUACAUGAUCUGAGUUCAAACCGGAG
rnacentral:rRNA from 1 species